rnacentral:piRNA from 1 species
UGAGAGAGGACAUGCCUGCCUUGAGUGC